GGGGAAUUUUGGACAAUGGGGGCAACCCUGAUCCAGCAAUGCCGCGUGCAGGAAGAAGGCCUUCGGGUUGUAAACUGCUUUUGUACGGAACGAAAAGGCUCUGGUUAAUACCUGGGGCACAUGACGGUACCGUAAGAAUAAGCACCGGCUAACUACGUGCCAGCAGCCGCGGUAAUACGUAGGGUGCGAGCGUUAAUCGGAAUUACUGGGCGUAAAGCGUGCGCAGGCGGUGCUGUAAGACAGGCGUGAAAUCCCCGGGCUUAACCUGGGAAUGGCGCUUGUGACUGCAGUGCUGGAGUGUGGCAGAGGGGGAUGGAAUUCCGCGUGUAGCAGUGAAAUGCGUAGAUAUGCGGAGGAACACCGAUGGCGAAGGCAAUCCCCUGGGCCUGCACUGACGCUCAUGCACGAAAGCGUGGGGAGCAAAC
rnacentral:rRNA from 1 species